rnacentral:rRNA from 1 species
AUGCGGCUGCGCGGGCGCUCGGUCAACGCUGGAGGCCAGCGGGGCAGAGGAGGUCGAAUAGGCUGCCAGAGAGCAGUUGCAGGGGAGGCAUGGCGGCGCAUGGUGGUGGCUGCGAGCUCCUGCGCAGGGCAAAGGAGAGGGCAUCCUGGUGGUGGUGCUGGUUGCCGACAGGGGCGACUCCAGUCGAGGCCAGGUGUUGGAGGAGCACGGCGCCAGCUUCGGGGAGCUCCUCUCCCGUUGGGCUCGUGCGCGGGGAAAGACGCAGAGGAGGCGGCGCUGGAGGGAGCAGCACGGAGAAGAAACCGAGGCCGCGGCUUCCAUGGACGACCUCCGACGACGACCAAGGAACCGGCGGCGGAGGAGCUCGACCUGGCGGCGGACGAGGAGGCGCGCAGGGAUUGGGCGAGGUGA